ensembl:lncRNA LINC02506 long intergenic non-protein coding RNA 2506
GGUAACCCCCUUGGAUCCCCUUCCACACUGUGGGAGGUUUGUUCUUUUGCUCUUUGCAAUAAAGCUUGCUGCUGCUCACUCUUUGGGUCCAGACUGUCUUUAUGAGCUAUAACACUCACCGGGAAGGUCUGCAGCUUCACUCCUGAAGCCAAGGAGACCACGAACCCACCGGGAGGAAGGAACAACUACAGACACGCCGGCUUAAGAGCUGUAGCACUCACUGCGAAGGUCCGCAGCUUCACUCUUGAGCCAGAGACCACGAACCCACCAGAAGGAAGAAACUCCAAACACAUCCGAACAUCAGAAGGAAAAAACUCCAGACACGCCGCCUUUAAGAACUGCAACACUGCGAGGGUCCGCGGCUUCAUUCUUGAAGUCAGUGAGACCAAGAACCCACCAAUUCCAGACACACUACCAAAGGCAGAGGGGAGCUCCUAGACAAAGAGACAAGGUCUUGCUCUGUCACCCUGGCUGGUCUUGAACUCCUGGCUUCAAGCAAUUCAUCCAUCUCAGCCUCCUGAGUAGCUGGGAUUACAGAAAAAACAGUGAAGCAUAGACAGUUUUUGCAAGAGGCCCAAGAUCAUACAUCAAAUAUGUGCACAGCCAGGACCUGAACCAGUUGAUAUCUACAAAUGCCUGGCUUUUGCCACUGGGCUCCUUCAGGCUGGAGUGUAGUGGUACGAUCUUGGCUUACUGCAACCUCCACCUCCUGGGUUCAAGCGGCCCUGUCAUCUCAGCCUCCUGAGUAGCUGGGGUUACAGAGCUCCUUUCUGACAACUUGCAAUUGAUCCAACAUUUGAAACCUUAUGCAGGAGCCGGACAGCUUGGUUUUGAAUUAUAAUCUUACAAAUUACUGGCUGUGUGUUAAAUCUUUAAAUUACUGGCUGUGUGACUUUGUGUAAGUACCUUCACUUCUCUGUGCCUUAGUUUAUGUUAUGUAAAAGGUAUGAUAAUAGUAUCUAUCUUGGAAUUUAGUUUUUAAAUAUAAAAUUUAUAUAUCUACAACAGCUGAAUAAGUGUUAUCUAUCUUUAUUACCAUUGCAAUUAUUAUUAUAAUUAUUUGUAUAUGUCGGGCUCAUAAAGCUCUUAGCUUUGCAAAACUGUCUGAGAAAGUUUGCUUUUCUUUGCAUUCAUUGGGAAAUUAACUUUUCUACACAAUAAUGUUUUUAAGGCAUGGACCUGUAAAAUGUUUAAUUGGUGUGGCUUCAAAGUAUAGAAAUUGUAAAGUAGGAAAUAAUUAUACACAACUAUCAAACCAAUAAUAAAGGUCAAUAAAUAUUCAAACAGUAUUAAUAUAA